GCAGUGCUGGGAAGGAGACACGGGGCCUCAUACAAGUGUUCUCCCAUAGACCUAUGUCUUCAGCUCUUAUCUCCCAAUAUAAUCAGAAAACUGAGACUCCAAUAAUUAAAUCCCCUUUCGAGGCUCUACAGCUUGCCACCCAUCUCCAGUGACGUGGAUCGUUUUGACUCUGAAGACAGCCUCCUCACCCACCCCUGGAAAGCUUCUAGAAUUUGUAACUGAGUAUAUUCAUGUCACGAAUCUUCUCUUCCAGAGAGAGAAAUGUGUUACUAAGUAGAAACUAACUAACACAUUUCUUUUCAAGUCCUGUGUUCUUGGUAUAUGUAAAUUUUUACAUGCAAACCAUGGCAGAUGGUCAGAGACCAGAAUCAAAGGUGUGAAAGUGUAUGUGUUUGUGUGUGUGUGUACCCACACAUAGACAUUGAAUAUAAGCAUGUGUGCUGUGGUCCUAUCCACACAAACAUGAAUGUGUAUCAACAGAUCCAUAUAAACAUAUCUCAACAGGCUAGAACUGUUUAUGUCACUCUUCAGAGAAAAACAAAACCCAGAGUUCCCGGUUUUGUUUUCAAGAUCACCUCCCAGGACCCAUAAAUGCUGUGACUUGCUACAUUAACGCCUGUGUUUUCAAAACAUUCUGUUAACCAUGUGAAAUGCAUGAAGUAGCAACUUCUGAGCUUGGAGGGGCCAAUCAGAAGGCUGCAUGAUGGAAGACUUACCCAAGUGAGCAGUAACUGAGAGUAACUAAGAUCUGCACCAGUUGGCUUCUCGGAACACCCUUAUCUAGACUCUGCAUGUGUCAGGCUUGGGAAACCAGACCCACACUGUGAAGUCUGGGCAUGACCUAGCAGAUUGGGGGUGAGAGGAGGUUACCUUCUGCAGUCCUGAUCUGAGCUUUCUGAAACUACCAGUGGUCAGCAGGACCCAGAGGUACUUAACUUACUGUUAGAAAAAUCAUUUAAGUUCUUCUCCACCAGUGCACCCACGUCAUGAGGAGAAAACUCAAGGCCUAGGGUAAGAAGCACACACCCAGAGGCAAGUGAGGUCUGUUGAACAGCUGGGAGAACUGCCAGCUAUCAACUGAUCCAAGAUAUCUGCGAAGGACUAAGCAAGACUCAGCCAGGAGCAGACGAGAUACACUGGCUUUAGACUUCUGACUCCCCAUAACAUGACUGUUUUUGCUGUCCUCUACCUCAGCAGAAAGAGGUACCUUAUGUCUGUCCCCAGACCUGCCACAUACCAUGCUCCAGAACCCAGUCCCCAGCUCCCUGCUGUCGAAGAGACACUAUUCAAACAGCUACUGCCUGU
ensembl:lincRNA Gm43121 predicted gene 43121